rnacentral:misc_RNA from 1 species
AAUAAAUGAAAUUACAACCCAAAAUUAUUACAACCUUAAUAAUACAUGCCCAAAAAAAAAUAAAAUAAAUAAAUUAAUAAAUAAAUAAAAAAGUAAAUUUAGAAAAGGGUGAAAAAAGAGAAGGUUGACAGGGACGGCAUUGGCCAAUGGUUACCCGGUUGGUUAAACAUUGUAAAAUUUCUACACCGAAUAACUCAAAACCUAUUAUGUAAUACAGUGGGGAAUAGAACCUACAAUGUAAUACCAUAAAUAACAGCCCCUACUCUAACCCACCUAUUGAGGUGAUGAUGAAUAAACUUGAAAGCAUGAAAUGCUAUACAAAAAUACAAGUCCUUUACAUAAAAUAGCUGAGAGAUUUCUUCUUUCUCGAUCCACCUUCUCCAUAUAGAUCAUUCCAUUGGAGGAGCUCAUUCAUAUUUGUAGACUCAGAUGAUACACUUGCACACACCUGUGAUGUGGUAUCAGGAUUAUACAGGAAAAACUGAAUACAUAAAUUAACAUAUGAGUUUUAAUUGAAAAAUCCAGUUACCCUCAAACUUUUAUUUUUACCUAUUUGACCCUUACAUUUUUAUAACAGUAAAUACUUGGUUGAACAAAUUCUCAUUGCAUCGUCACAUGGGUGUUGACAAAAAUAAUCGCUUCCAAUUUUUGUUUUUUACUUUUUCACUCAUUCUCCACCAUGUCGCCUUUUCCUCUCAAAUGGAAAUCCUUACCCAGAAUAUGUAUCACUACAGCAAUUUCACUUGUCCUCGUGCACAUACAUUCAUGCGACCCGUUGGCUAAAUAAAUUUAUGUUUAAUGGAUACAAAAAAAAAGUCAAGGUGUUUAAUAGGUCGAAAUAAAAGUUUGGAGAGCCACCCAUUUCCGUGAAAUACAAUGGGCAAGUUAUGUAUUCAGCCAUAUAGAAAAUGUCCAAAGUUUCUCCACCACGUCAGGAAGCAACCAAUAAAUUUGCGAGAGAAUUAUAAACCAUAGCUUGCUUACUCAAAAGAACAAACCACACACACAUAUAUAUAAGCGAAAAGAAGGGUCAUACCUGUUCAUGUGCAUAUUUAAAAUCCUCCAUUUUAAGAGGACGGAUAUCAGAACUGCUAUGCAUUGUAGAUACGGUUCUGUUCUCUGCCAAAGCCAAAGUUCUCUCCUUCUUUUCUUUCUCCAAUAUUUCCCGAAUGGGACAGUGAGCAGCAGUAACACACAGAUUCUUUAGAUCACUUCCAGAGUAACCAUCUGUCAUGUUUGCAACUGCUUCCAAAUCAACAUCAGGGGCCAAUUCCUCUUUGGCUAGGAUAACCCUCAAAAUUUUCUCUCUGUUAGGUGCAUCUGGCAAGUUGACCAUUAAUCUCCGGGGAAGCCUCCUAAUAACAGCCUCAUCAAGGUCAAAAGGCCUGUUUGUAGCAGCAAGCACUAAUACCCGUUCUUUAUCCUUUGUACGUAGACCAUCCCAGUUCACCAUAAACUCAUUCUUCAUUUUACGCAUAGCCUCGUGUUCUCCAGGAUUUUCACGUCUACCAAGCAUGCUAUCCACCUAAAUCAAUAAAACAAGCAGUUUCGAUUAGUUUUUCUUUUUAAUUGAAAUAGCAAAAAACACAAUCAAGAAAAAAAAAGAGCCGGCAUGUGUUCUUUCAAGUGUGUAAGGUGGACACAGACAAAAGUAAAACAUGGAAUAACAUAUGGAAACAAGAAGUAAAACAACUGAACAAACCUCGUCAACAAAAACAAUACUAGGAGCAAUUUUACUAGCCAAGGAGAAGACUGCCUUGACAUACUUCUCUCCUUCACCAAACCACUGCAGUCAAGUCAUAUAAUUUCAACUUGCUCAUAUGAUGGAUGACGCAAUAUUUAUCACAUGCAAAUACCUUUGAUGUAAUGCUUGACAUAGAAAUGUUUAUAAAGUUUGCACCAGCCUCAGUUGCAACGGCCUUAGCAAGCAUUGUUUUGCCAGUACCAGGAGGCCCAAAAAGUAAUAUUCCUUUACAAGGCUUAGUCAGCUGUCCCUUGCAAAAUAAUUCAGGCCUCUGAAGAGGAAGCAUCACCAGUUCCUUCAAGGUAUCCUUCACAUUUUCUAAUGCUCCAAUGUCAUCAAAGGUCACUCCAAUGUCGCUAGGAGGAAUAACAUCUGCCAAAAGUUUCUUCUCAAAUUCAUUCUCAGUGACUACAUCCUUCAGUGAUUUCUUCAAGCUCUUGUUCUCACUUUGAAUACCCUGCAGAAUGCUCAACCCAUACUUGAUGCUCUCAGUGGAUAUCACGAGUUUACCUUCUUUGACAGAAGCUUCAGAACAAUGCAUGAAGUGGUGACUUAAAGCCCAACCAACUAUUUUCUCUACACUUUCAGUUGCAAGGGCUUGAUCUUUAAUACACAGAGUCUCAAGGUCAGGGCAACACAGACGAACUCGGCUGAGAACCGAACGAAUGCCAAAAAUGUUGGCCUGUGCUUUCAGAGUUUCAAUAUCAUGCUCCAACUGCUGCUUCCAGUCCAAAAGCAAAGCUUCAUCCUGAGGCAGCUGUAUUGUCACUUUGUUAGGGAAAAGCCGUCCCAGCUGCUUCAUAGUUUUAGGAGUUUCCUUGCUCCUAUCAUGCAGUCGACCGAAGUUAUCCGGGAAUGCAAGAUCAAGUAAAGCAGUGUGGUUGCUUCCAAACUUUGUAAAUAAAAGACCACCAGGUUGAGACUUCUCUUUACGAAUGUCCAUCUGAACAUGUGAACCAAUUAUGAUCACUCUUUCGGGCAAAUUUUCAAGCUUACUCCUUAAAGCAGUGUAUGCAUCUUGAUUCCCCACCAUAGACUUUUCUAUGUCUUUCACAAACAAUAUUAAAGGACCACGUUUACUCUCAUCUAAGGCAACCUCAAAGAGUUCAUUAACAGCAAGCCUAUCAACAUCUUCACCUCCAGGACCAUCCAAGCGAAGUGAAUUAGCAGCACAAAAGAAACCGUGGUCUUCUUCACAGAGACCACCAAGGUCAUUGCCUUCUGGAAUAGAUCUAUCAAAUCUAACCCCGAUCUUUGAGGAUCCAUUUUCUUCAAAAGCAAGGACUACCUUGCCUCGAAAACCAACUGCCGGUCCCCUUGGAGGAUUGUGCAGAGAAGGUAACCCCACAAACUUUACUCUAUCACCUGUUUUAAAAGUAUAGCUUUUGGAUGAUGCAGUAGAAGGUUCUGGCUUCGGCAAACCCUGAGAGCUUAUUGUGGAGCCACCAGUAAUAUCAGCCUCAACACUAGAAGUUGGUUUCUUGUGAUGAAACGCAGCCUGGACAGCUCUUUUGGCAAAAACAGAUGCUCUUUCAGGCCUUGUACUUUCUUUCACAUAGUCAGCUUCUUUAGGCGUUGAUCCCCCAGGUAACAGAAAUGAAUCAAUGACCAGCAGUCUAGCACCAACAUCUUUGGCAAGAGCCUUUACUAGUGUCUCUUGAUAUAUUUCUGAUCCUGCAGGACCAGAUAAUAAUAUGCGUGGGGACACAGUAGGAAGAUCACAGAAAAACUUUGGAACUUUUUUUUCACACUUUAAAUGAAUGAAUGCAGCACCUAUCAAAACUUUCUUUGUUGUUUCACUGGUAAGAAAGCUCAAUGCAAGAGAAGGAUGAACUAGAAUUAGCAUCCAAGAUACUUAUGCUCAGAAGUGACAAGAAUGUAAGAUAUUGACUAUAUACCACACAACAAGACCAAAGAUAACUAACAGACAGAGAAAGUAAUUAUUAACCUCUAUAACAAAAAUAUACAAAUUAUAGCAGAGAAGCAUCACAUGCAAUGAAGAAAAUAUAAAGUGCACUGCUGAAAAAAGUCAAAUGCAUCUAAAAUUAACUGAAAGUAAAGAAUUCACCUUAGAUAAUAUGGAAAACUAUCAAAUGAAACAUCAAUUCCUUCAGGAUUUAAAAUUCCCUGUUGUAAACUAUCUUUAUAUGCUUGCCUUCUGGUUGACAUCAGAACUGUUGGAGAAUCUAGAACAUUGAAGGGCUCUCUUAUUUCCCUUUGCUCAUCAAGUAUUUUGGAAAUGCUACUUAAAUCAAAUUCAGGAGAACCUGCAAGUAUCCGAAAGAGAGGCCUUAAUUCAUAGGCUGACCCAGCAAUCUUUCUGUUUCCUGCAUCAACAGUAGCAUCCAGCCCAAGACCAUCAAGAUUUGGGUUUUGACUGGCCGUAUUAGAGGAUGGAACAAUAGUUUUCUCCCUCGAAGAAAAACCAGCCAGCUCAUUAUUACUUGCGCUAUUCUUCAUGACAACUUCUGGAAUGCAGUUGUUAGGUGCUCCACAAACAGAAGGUACAGUGGAAAUCUCAGCCUUUUGCUGCAAAUCCUCACCAGCUUUGGCAGGAGGCGAUAGAAGAGAUAAAUCUUUUUGAAAAUCAGAUAAAGAGGCCAGUAUUGAUGCUCCCGCAAAAGCUGAGGGAUCACCAGAUCUCGCCUCAAUCUGAAUUCCUUUUAGGGGGGCACCUUGAGCUUCUAAGAUAUUUUCUGAAGGCAUGUCUGGAGCACUUAAGCUAUCAUUAGUGAGCUGCUGAAAAAUAUAAGCAUGUUUGCCAGAAGAACUGAAUACUACUUCAUCUCCUCCAUUAAUCACUAUCAUGCCAGGUUUUUGUAGAAGCUUACCAUUAACUUGAACUGCUCCUUUACCCCCAGUGACUUCCAACAAGGCAACCGAUAUACCUCCAUUCUCUAACUGUUUUAGCUUACAUAAAAUGCCACUGAUGGAUGGAUCAUUGAGCACUAAAUCGCAACUACGAUUUCGACCAACAGUGAAAAGAGUGCCACGCAUUUCCUUGUGAGGGUACUGGGAGCACUGGGAAAGUAGCUUGCCCCAGGCAGGCUUCUCAGACAGUUUCUUUUUUGCUGGUUUUGUUGGCGCGGACUUUGAUGGCCGCUUCCUCGCCCGAUUCAGAACCUUGUCAACAGUCUUGGACAUCUCAACAUUCAGGGUAGUUUCACCUAGAGGCUGCGUCGAAAUCAAGCCCUCGCCUUCCAUAUCAGGAGAUGUCUCAUCAGCAGGAGUGGACUCUAAAGCGACAGUUACCUGCGGAUCAGAGGAUUGCAGCUCGUUGUCUCGAGGUGCAGACACGGAUUCCUUGGCCGGAAUUUGGGUUUCAACCGGCAGCGCAACCGUUUCACCAUUUAUUGGGGAUGAAGCCUCUGCCAUAGCCACCUUGGAUCUUUUGGAGGAGGGGGAAGUUGAGGCGGGGAGGGUGCGGUCGGAGUAAGAGGAGCUGCGCUUGGAGUAAGAGGAGCUGCGCCUGGUCUCAACCAUGGUGUUUGGUUCUCUCCGAUCCAACAACAACAACAACACCAAGAGAAGAGCAGCGGGGGCUGUUUGGUUCGUUGAGAGAGAGGAAGGGAGCAAAUGAUUGCGGGAGAAGAGUUUGUUUACUUUAUAAAUAUAUUAAUAUAUUAAUUAUCUUCAUAACAU